rnacentral:lncRNA from 10 species
AAAAAAAAAAAAGAGACUUCUGGAAAGAUAGAGCUAUUUCUUUUCUCUUUCCUGGAGCCAUUAUUUACAUUGUAUGGACAACAAAACCAACCGUGAGCCAUUUGCUUAUACUCCAGGGUAAUAAAUACCUAGAGAUCAUCCCUUCUGCUCUCCAGAGAAGACUUUUUUACACUCCAGAGCAAACAUUACUGUUUCUCCAGAGACAAAUGUGCCCACCAUCUUAUAUUAGCUCCUAUUUUCAUGAUCUCUGUAUACAUGAGGAGAUGACAGGUUCUCAUCAUGUCACCCCAUGGGGAACAAGAACAGUAUCUGUAUGUAUAUUGGGCUGAAUGGUGGUCCCUAAAAAAUAAUAUUUUAUUCCUAUGACCUAUGAUUAUUGUCUUAUAUGGCAAAAAAGUGAAUCCGACCUUAUAUGAAAAAAAAGAUGUGAUUAAUCACAGGCCAGAUAAUUAAUCACACCACUCCAGAGCAAACCACAUUCCUCAAAUAUGUAUGAAUGAUGCUCUCUGCCAUUGGACAAUAAACAAGCAUCUUGAGAGCAGGUGUUUAAUCCUUGACUUUCUGAAUGAGCCAGAAAUGCAAUCACAUGUAUCCUUAGAAGAGAGAGGCAAGUAGAGUUUAGAGACGGACACACAGAGGAGAAGAGGAGGAGGGACAAUGUGGCCACAGAAGCUGAGAUUGGAGUGGGGCAGCCAUGAGAUAAGGAACACUUGGAGCCACCAGAAGCUGAAAGAAGCAAUGAACAGAAUCUCCCUACAGCCCUCCAGGGAGUGUGGUCCUGCCAAUACUUUGAUUUUGGACUAAUUUCUUUUAAAACUGAGAGAAUAAAAUUCUGUUGUGUUGUGCUAACAAGUUUAUGGCAAAUUGCUACAGCAGCCACAAGCAACAAAUAUAGUGGGUGAUUGAAAGUCUGUCUCUAAGCCAGAGUUUCAGUAUUCUGUUAGUGUGUGUGUGUUUAUAAAAUUGUAUGUAUAUUGCACACACACACAGUUAUGUGCUACUAUAGGUGUUAUAUAUAGGUUCUAUGUAACUGUGCAUAUGGUAACAUCUCAAAUCCUUCACACUUUUGGAAUUAAUAUUAGUAAGCUAUGGAGAAAAAUAAAGUAAGAAAGGAGACUAGCUUUUUGAGGGUUACAAUUUUAAAGCAGGGUGGUCAUGGAAGCCCUUCUUGAAAAGAUGGCAUAGAGACCUGAAGAGUUUGAGUAGACUUCCUAUAAGUGACAUCAUGCCAGGUUGCUCUGAUGCCAGAACAUUUUAGUCCCAAUCUGAGUACGCUUUGUCCUCAAACUCUCGGUCCUACAAGCAAAUCCUUUUUUCUAAAUCUUUCAGCAGUGGAGAAAGUACAUGCAUAUCUUUUAGCUGUCAGCACAAGAUAAGUUGUCACUAAAGGUCGGUAAUAACUAUUUGCUUAAGACAUCGCAUUUUCAGCAUCCAGAGUUGCCUGUAUAAUUGCAGCUACUCCUAAGGGGUAGCAAAUUAAAUAUUAUCAGUCAUUGAAUAAAAUAAUUGGUAAAACUUCUUUCUACAGGUCAGAAAAUUCAUUUCUGGAUUGUAGUAGAAUAUAAAUUGUAGUUUAUAAGUUUUGAUAUUGGGAGAGAGAAACAAGAUGUGCUUGAAGCCAGGAGACAGCUCAGCAGACUCAGCACAUGGAUGGGGCAGAAAAAUGGCACUGAAAUGAAUGGGGAAUGAUUCCUUAGUAGAAAGAAAAGUCAUCGAAAGAGGAUGAUGUCAAAAGAGAAAACUGUUGAUUACACAGCUUUGAUUUGAGCGAGUUCUUAGUUGUCAUAAUUAACACUACGAUUUUAAAAAGUAGCUCUUGGCAUAAUCUUAAGGGCAGUUUUCCUGGAGGGGGGGUGGUGUCUGUUGAAUGGAUGACUUACAGACUUGCUUUAGAUUUUUAGCCAUAUUAGUAACAAUUGCUAGUGUUGCUAGUAGGAUUAUUAGUAGGAUUGCCAUCUUUAUAUGCUUAGGACCAUGGAUUGGAGACUUAGGAGAACAACUGUGAUUCUGUGGUAGACUUUGGGAGAUAAUCAUAUUCAGUAUACACAAAUGCUAGUGACUUAUUGAGAAGGAACUUUACAGAGUUCUAGGACCAGAUCAUUUGAAUAAUUACACUUGCAUAUGGGUUUUCCCUGUCCCUACAUCUAUAAUCUGGUCAGAUAAUCAAGUGUUCUUCAUUUAUUUGUAAUAAAAUGCUAUUAUCUACUACAUUGAGUUCAGUUAAGAAGUGGGAAAGAUAUAGCUGACGUAUAGGCACAUGGACAGAAGGGUUCCUUUCUUGUUAUCCAUCACCUUUACAAGAAAAGGACUCCAUUUAUUAACUCACUUAUUUAUCACAAAAGCCUUCUGAGCUGGGUAUCUUUCUAACUAAAUCAUCCCCAUUUUAUAGAUGUGAAAACUGAGACAUGGGAAGGUUAAAUCAUUUGCCCAAGACCAUACAACCAGUUAGUAGUGGAGCCAGGAUUUGGAUGUGAAUUGACACUGUUAACCACAGCAUUAUUCUACCACUCUAGUAGGUACACAAUAUAAAUAUGUGUUCAAUGCAUUAAAGAGUUCUUGUGCUGAGUUUUUUGGUUUCUUUUAGAUCUGUCUCUUAUUCAACAAUCUUAUUAAAGUUGAUUAUAUAGGAAUGGACAUUAUGCAUUAUGAUAAAAAUGAACUAUUAGGCAUUUCAAAAUUAAAGUUUAGUGUAGUCCUGCUGUAUUUAUGUACAAUGAAGAUGGCAUUACGUAAUGUAUGGGGUUCUUGUGAGAAUACACAACAUUACAAUGUUUAACCAAGUGUCUGACAUAAUGGAUGUUCAGUAAGUGUUUCUUUUACCUCUCUUUUCAUAAAGAAGAUCCAGGAGACUAUAAAAUACACUUAAAAGAGCAAUAUAUGAAGAAGAAAUCAGUACAUUUUAUUAAUACUUUCUCAUAAAUGAUAUUCAUUUUAUCUUCACCUCUGCUAAAUACUAAAGAAUAUGGGUUUGCACUUAAUCAACAACCUAAGAUAUGUGUACUCCAUGCCCUUAUCAGAGAGUUUAACUUUGAAUUCUCUGACACACAGCUCUUAGUAAAAAGCUCAAAAGGCAAUUGUAUAGAAUAACAUUUAAGGGAAUUACCUGUAAAAAAUUCAUUAAAUAUUCCAAAUAAAGUUAUCCCAUAUAUUUAGCCAGAUUAGAAACCUUCAUUCUUCAGCUAUCUCGGAUGUAUCCUUAUAAAAUUAAAAUAUGCUUAGAUGUUUUACUUCAGCCUAUAUUUUGGGAUAUUACAAAUAACACAAUGAAGAUAAUUAUUGUUUUUUACAAGCUAACUUUGUUGGUAUAUAAUUUACAUAUAAUAAAAUGUACUCAUUCUAACUAUACAGUUUGAGGAGUUUUGACAAAUAUAUAAACUUUUGUAACUACCAAUGUAGUCAAAAUAUAAAACAUUUACAUUGCCCCCAAAUGUCCCUUUGCAGUCAUUUUCUUCUGUCCUGAGUCCUGGUCUUCUUUCCGAUAAUAUGGGAACAACUACAUGUUAAACCAGACAUCAAUAAAACUGGUUAUCUACAAAUGUAGAGAGAGAAAGUGGGAAGCUAGAGCUCUCUGUACUUUGUUUUAUAGCUUUGAAUGUGGAGCCAUUUAAUAUUUUACAGAGUUAAAAUCAAAUCAAAUCAAAUCAAAACCAAAUAAUAUUUCUCAAAUAAAAAAUGAAUGGAAACAAACGAACCUAACUGUGAGAGGUGAAGCCAGCUGGACUUCCUGGGUCCAGUGGGAGCUUGGAGAACUUUUCUGUCUAGCUAAAGGAUUGUAAACGCACCAAUCAGCACUCUGUAAAAAUGCACCAAUCAACGCUCUGUGUCUAGCUAAAGAAUUGUAAACGCACCAAUCAGCACUCUGUGUCUAGCUAAAGGACUGUAAAUGCACCAAUCAGCACUCCGUAAAAUGGACCAAUCAGCGCUCUGUAAAAUGGACCAAUCAGCAGGACGUGGGCAGGGCCAAAUAAGGGAAUAAAAGCUGGCCACCCCAGCUAGCAGUGGCAACUGGCUGGGGUCCCCCUGCAGGCUGUGGAAGCUUUGUUCUUUCGCUCUUCACAAUAAAUCUUGCUGCUGCUUACUCUUUGUGUUUGCCCUACCUUUAUGAGCUGUAACACUCACCACGAGGGUCUGCGUCUGCAGCUUCAUUCCUGAAGUCAGUGAGACCAUGAACCCACUGGGAGGAACAAACAACUCUGGACAUGCCACCUUUAUGAGCUGUAACACUCACUGCCAGAGUCUGCAUCUGCAGCUUCACUCCUGAAGUCAGCGAGACCACGAACCCACUGGAAGGAAGAAACUCCAGACACACAUGCAAUCUGAAGGAACAAACUCUGGAAACAUCAUCUUUAAGAGCUGUAACACUCACCGCGAGGGUCCGCGGCUUCAUUCUUGAAGUCAGCAAGACCAAGAACCCACAAGAAGGAAUAAAUUCCAGACACAACUGUAUCUCAAGUUGACAUAAUAGCUACACAGGGAAAAAUUAUCUCAAUUUAUUUUAAAAUAUAGUAUUUUGACUGUAUAAACCUAAACCCAAGAAAACAAGAAAAAUCUAGAUUGUAAUCAGAGGUCCUGUAAUCAUUAAUGUUGAUAUUAUUAUUUUAGAACAAUGCCAUUAUCAAAAAUGACAUUAUAGAAAAAAGACUUUGUCUGUUACAUAUAAAAAAAUAGAUAAAAUGUGACUAAAUGUUAACAGUUGUAAAAUCCUGAUAAUGGUUGAUAAUGGGUAUAUGGAAGUUCAAUAUAUUGUGCUUUCUAUUUUUCUGUAUGUUUUAAAUUUGCCAUAAUAAAAGUCUAAAAAUAAGCAAAAA